rnacentral:tRNA from 1 species
GCCCCCGUAGCCCAACUGGCAGAGGCAGCGGCCUCAAACACCGCACGGUGUGGGUUCGAAUCCCACCGGGGGCACCA